UGACCAGCCACUUCACUUCUGUUUCCAUGAGUGGACUGACUCCAGGGAUCCUGCAAAGGAGGAUGAUCAUCAGUUUUCUUGAUUUGUGUUACAAAGUAAUUUUGAAGAGCCAAUUCUAGAAGCACAGUAGGCAGUCUCUUGAAGGAGUAAGAGAAAGAUGAAGACUGGUCUGCAUGUUUACAAGAGCUAAACAGAAUUUCAGAAGAGCACAAAAGGGGAACUGAAACCAGCACACACUGGUGAAAAUGGAAGAGACAGAAAUAAUGACUCAAUCUGUAAAAGACAGCAAUCCUACAAACACUGAACACCCUUGUAUUUAGUACAAUAUCACACUGAUUGUUUCAACAAAUACAACUCAUGAUGAAUAAAAAGAGAUCAGUAUAUUUUACAGAAAUUGGACUAACCCCAGUAUGAUUGAGUGAUGAUUUCUGUGUCCAUGUUUGCUAUUUCCAUAAUUUCUUCACUCACACCAAAUUUUCAGUUGUUUCCAUCCAAUUUCUAUGUGGUUUUAUGGAUAGACAUCUACAAAGAAUAAGCCUACAACUAGAAAAAUCGAAGUAAAGUACCAGAAUUAUUGAGCUUUGGGAAAAAAAAUCUAGAGAAUUUGCAUGAUAUUGCCCAUCUCCCUACAAUAUUAAGUUCAGUCAGAAAUAUCAGCUGUAGAUUUUAAUGGUUCAAAUUUACUCAAAGGUUCUUUUUCCCCCACAUUUUAGAAUAGUUCAGCUUUAGGAUUUUUUUUCUCUUGUAGCAAUGUGAUCUCUUAAAUGCUCUAAAGUAUUAUGCUAAAAAAACCCUAAUGGUAUUCCUUCUCUAGUAUGCCAUACUGUCUCCAUAACACUGGUUGUCUCAGUUUAGAAGUGUGAAUAAAUAUUAUUCAAUUUUUAAUUUGGUUUUUCUUCUGCUGUAGCCAUUUUGGCACCAAUAGAAAGUCUACAGGUCAAAUACAGGACUCUUGAGGAAUCCCACUGCCUCCCACCUACAUAAGCUGUUAUCAAUGAAGAACAAACAGCCAGAAUAUGUUUCUGAUACUGGAAAACAAUCUUCUUCAUGAUAUUUAGCCCAAAAGACACAAUAUAUUUUCCCACAGACAAGCUGGGGCUGGAGUUCAGAAAAUGAAUAAAAUGAAAGAAAAGACAUUAGUCCAUAAGACUGCCACACUUCUAAAUGCACACAGAAAAAUAACGUCAAGAUUUCUGCCUCUUCUCAAAAGAAUUUGCAAAGUACCCACUUCUCCUGAUUAUUAACAGACUAUUUUUCACAACUAAGGGCAGGAGAAAACUCACACUUAGUUAAUCUCAGUUCUUCAAUUUCA